CCAUGACGAUGAUCAGUAGGGGUUCUGAGAGGAUGAUCCCCCACACUGGUACUGAGACACGGACCAGACUCCUACGGGAGGCAGCAGUAGGGAAUAUUGGUCAAUGGGCGAGCGCCUGAACCAGCCAUGCCGCGUGUAGGAUGACGGCCUUCUGGGUUGUAAACUACUUUUCUACAGGAAGAAAAAGCUUAUGCGUAAGCAGUUGACGGUACUGUAGGAAUAAGCACCGGCUAACUCCGUGCCAGCAGCCGCGGUAAUA
rnacentral:rRNA from 1 species